GUCGAGAAUCUUUCACAAUGGGGGCAACCCUGAUGGAGCGACGCCGCGUGGAGGAUAAGGUCUUCGGAUUGUAAACUCCUGUCAUGCGUGAACAAGGUUGCUUGGUUAAUACCUGGGCAAAUUGAUGGUAACGCAAGAGGAAGAGACGGCUAACUCUGUGCCAGCAGCCGCGGUAAUACAGAGGUCUCAAGCGUUGUUCGGAAUCACUGGGCGUAAAGGGUGCGUAGGUGGCGUGGUAAGUCAGAUGUGAAAGCCCGGGGCGCAACCUCGGAACUGCAUCCGAAACUGCCAUGGUAGAGUACUGGAGAGGUGACUAGAAUUCUCGGUGUAGCAGUGAAAUGCGUAGAUAUCGAGAGGAAUACCAAAGGCGUAGGCAGGUCACUGGACAGUUACUGACACUGAGGCACGAAGGCCAGGGGAGCGAACGGGAUUAGAAACCCCAGUAGUCC
rnacentral:rRNA from 1 species